rnacentral:rRNA from 1 species
UACGUAGGGUCCGAGCGUUGUCCGGAAUUAUUGGGCGUAAAGGGCUCGUAGGCGGUUUGUCGCGUCGGGAGUGAAGACCAGGUCCUUAACACCUGGCCUGCUUUCGAUACGGGCAGACUUGAGGCAUGCAGGGGAGAACGGAAUUCCUGGUGUAGCGGUGAAAUGCACAGAUAUCAGGAGGAACACCGGUGGCGAAGGCGGUUCUCUGGGCAUGUUCUGACGCUGAGGAGCGAAAGUGUGGGGAGCGAAC